rnacentral:rRNA from 1 species
GAUGAACGCUGGCGGCGUGCCUAAUACAUGCAAGUCGAGCGAACGGACGAGAAGCUUGCUUCUCUGAUGUUAGCGGCGGACGGGUGAGUAACACGUGGAUAACCUACCUAUAAGACUGGGAUAACUUCGGGAAACCGGAGCUAAUACCGGAUAAUAUUUUGAACCGCAUGGUUCAAAAGUGAAAGACGGUCUUGCUGUCACUUAUAGAUGGAUCCGCGCUGCAUUAGCUAGUUGGUAAGGUAACGGCUUACCAAGGCAACGAUGCAUAGCCGACCUGAGAGGGUGAUCGGCCACACUGGAACUGAGACACGGUCCAGACUCCUACGGGAGGCAGCAGUAGGGAAUCUUCCGCAAUGGGCGAAAGCCUGACGGAGCAACGCCGCGUGAGUGAUGAAGGUCUUCGGAUCGUAAGACUCUGUUAUUAGGGAAGAACAUAUGUGUAAGUAACUGUGCACAUCUUGACGGUACCUAAUCAGAAAGCCACGGCUAACUACGUGCCAGCAGCCGCGGUAAUACGUAGGUGGCAAGCGUUAUCCGGAAUUAUUGGGCGUAAAGCGCGCGUAGGCGGUUUUUUAAGUCUGAUGUGAAAGCCCACGGCUCAACCGUGGAGGGUCAUUGGAAACUGGAAAACUUGAGUGCAGAAGAGGAAAGUGGAAUUCCAUGUGUAGCGGUGAAAUGCGCAGAGAUAUGGAGGAACACCAGUGGCGAAGGCGACUUUCUGGUCUGUAACUGACGCUGAUGUGCGAAAGCGUGGGGAUCAAACAGGAUUAGAUACCCUGGUAGUCCACGCCGUAAACGAUGAGUGCUAAGUGUUAGGGGGUUUCCGCCCCUUAGUGCUGCAGCUAACGCAUUAAGCACUCCGCCUGGGGAGUACGACCGCAAGGUUGAAACUCAAAGGAAUUGACGGGGACCCGCACAAGCGGUGGAGCAUGUGGUUUAAUUCGAAGCAACGCGAAGAACCUUACCAAAUCUUGACAUCCUUUGACAACUCUAGAGAUAGAGCCUUCCCCUUCGGGGGACAAAGUGACAGGUGGUGCAUGGUUGUCGUCAGCUCGUGUCGUGAGAUGUUGGGUUAAGUCCCGCAACGAGCGCAACCCUUAAGCUUAGUUGCCAUCAUUAAGUUGGGCACUCUAAGUUGACUGCCGGUGACAAACCGGAGGAAGGUGGGGAUGACGUCAAAUCAUCAUGCCCCUUAUGAUUUGGGCUACACACGUGCUACAAUGGACAAUACAAAGGGCAGCGAAACCGCGAGGUCAAGCAAAUCCCAUAAAGUUGUUCUCAGUUCGGAUUGUAGUCUGCAACUCGACUACAUGAAGCUGGAAUCGCUAGUAAUCGUAGAUCAGCAUGCUACGGUGAAUACGUUCCCGGGUCU